GGGACACGUGGUAUCCUGUCUGAAUAUGGGGGGACCAUCCUCCAAGGCUAAAUACUCCUGACUGACCGAUAGUGAACCAGUACCGUGAGGGAAAGGCGAAAAGAACCCCGGCGAGGGGAGUGAAAAAGAACCUGAAACCGUGUACGUACAAGCAGUGGGAGCCUCUUAAUGGGGUGACUGCGUACCUUUUGUAUAAUGGGUCAGCGACUUAUAUUCUGUAGCAAGGUUAACCGAAUAGGGGAGCCGAAGGGAAACCGAGUCUUAACUGGGCGUUAAGUUGCAGGGUAUAGACCCGAAACCCGGUGAUCUAGCCAUGGGCAGGUUGAAGGUUGGGUAACACUAACUGGAGGACCGAACCGACUAAUGUUGAAAAAUUAGCGGAUGACUUGUGGCUGGGGGUGAAAGGCCAAUCAAACCGGGAGAUAGCUGGUUCUCCCCGAAAGCUAUUUAGGUAGCGCCUCGUGAAUUCAUCUCCGGGGGUAGAGCACUGUUUCGGCAAGGGGGUCAUCCCGACUUACCAACCCGAUGCAAACUGCGAAUACCGGAGAAUGUUAUCACGGGAGACACACGGCGGGUGCUAACGUCCGUCGUGAAGAGGGAAACAACCCAGACCGCCAGCUAAGGUCCCAAAGUCAUGGUUAAGUGGGAAACGAUGUGGGAAGGCCCAGACAGCCAGGAUGUUGGCUUAGAAGCAGCCAUCAUUUAAAGAAAGCGUAAUAGCUCACUGGUCGAGUCGGCCUGCGCGGAAGAUGUAACGGGGCUAAACCAUGCACCGAAGCUGCGGCAGCGACGCUUAUGCGUUGUUGGGUAGGGGAGCGUUCUGUAAGCCUGUGAAGGUGUGCUGUGAGGCAUGCUGGAGGUAUCAGAAGUGCGAAUGCUGACAUAAGUAACGAUAAAGCGGGUGAAAAGCCCGCUCGCCGGAAGACCAAGGGUUCCUGUCCAACGUUAAUCGGGGCAGGGUGAGUCGACCCCUAAGGCGAGGCCGAAAGGCGUAGUCGAUGGGAAACAGGUUAAUAUUCCUGUACUUGGUGUUACUGCGAAGGGGGGACGGAGAAGGCUAUGUUGGCCGGGCGACGGUUGUCCCGGUUUAAGCGUGUAGGCUGGUUUUCCAGGCAAAUCCGGAAAACCAAGGCUGAGGCGUGAUGACGAGGCACUACGGUGCUGAAGCGACAAAUGCCCUGCUUCCAGGAAAAGCCUCUAAGCAUCAGGUAACAUCAAAUCGUACCCCAAACCGACACAGGUGGUCAGGUAGAGAAUACCAAGGCGCUUGAGAGAACUCGGGUGAAGGAACUAGGCAAAAUGGUGCCGUAACUUCGGGAGAAGGCACGCUGAUAUGUAGGUGAAGCGACUUGCUCGUGGAGCUGAAAUCAGUCGAAGAUACCAGCUGGCUGCAACUGUUUAUUAAAAACACAGCACUGUGCAAACACGAAAGUGGACGUAUACGGUGUGACGCCUGCCCGGUGCCGGAAGGUUAAUUGAUGGGGUUAGCGGCAACGCGAAGCUCUUGAUCGAAGCCCCGGUAAACGGCGGCCGUAACUAUAACGGUCCUAAGGUAGCGAAAUUCCUUGUCGGGUAAGUUCCGACCUGCACGAAUGGCGUAAUGAUGGCCAGGCUGUCUCCACCCGAGACUCAGUGAAAUUGAACUCGCUGUGAAGAUGCAGUGUACCCGCGGCAAGACGGAAAGACCCCGUGAACCUUUACUAUAGCUUGACACUGAACAUUGAGCCUUGAUGUGUAGGAUAGGUGGGAGGCUUUGAAGUGUGGACGCCAGUCUGCAUGGAGCCGACCUUGAAAUACCACCCUUUAAUGUUUGAUGUUCUAACGUUGGCCCCUAAUCGGGGUUGCGGACAGUGUCUGGUGGGUAGUUUGACUGGGGCGGUCUCCUCCUAAAGAGUAACGGAGGAGCACGAAGGUUGGCUAAUCCUGGUCGGACAUCAGGAGGUUAGUGCAAUGGCAUAAGCCAGCUUGACUGCGAGCGUGACGGCGCGAGCAGGUGCGAAAGCAGGUCAUAGUGAUCCGGUGGUUCUGAAUGGAAGGGCCAUCGCUCAACGGAUAAAAGGUACUCCGGGGAUAACAGGCUGAUACCGCCCAAGAGUUCAUAUCGACGGCGGUGUUUGGCACCUCGAUGUCGGCUCAUCACAUCCUGGGGCUGAAGUAGGUCCCAAGGGUAUGGCUGUUCGCCAUUUAAAGUGGUACGCGAGCUGGGUUUAGAACGUCGUGAGACAGUUCGGUCCCUAUCUGCCGUGGGCGCUGGAGAACUGAGGGGGGCUGCUCCUAGUACGAGAGGACCGGAGUGGACGCAUCACUGGUGUUCGGGUUGUCAUGCCAAUGGCACUGCCCGGUAGCUAAAUGCGGAAGAGAUAAGUGCUGAAAGCAUCUAAGCACGA
rnacentral:rRNA from 1 species